GAAGCAGCAAGACCCUCUGUGAUCCAGGCCCUUCUGUGCCCUCACAUCGGAAGGAUUUUGAAAAUCUUCUUCAGCCACCUAUCACACAUGAAGUCAGUGAAGCUCACUUCUGACAGAUGAAGGCAAUACUGUGAGCCCCGACUUCACUUCGAGAGAUGAGGCAAGAGGUUGCCAUUGUGUUCAAGAUGGUGGGUCAACAUGGCAACUUCCACAAACCAGUUUAUGAGACUCCAUUAGCUUCUUGGAAGACAUAAUUACACACUAAUCAAUGUAUAUUUAUGAGUAAAAUAUUAUUUUUUUUCUAU